rnacentral:rRNA from 1 species
AUGGAAUCAUCUUCAUGGGAAAAAUGGCCCGAUCAUGUACGGGAUAAAUGGCGUGAUGAUCUGAGAGAUAUAGAUUUUUGGUUUAAUGGAUACCGUAAAACGGAGGCAUACAUUGUCUUGGUGUAUCAACCGUUCUUAGGUCCAAAUGUUUGUUGGAAUGUUGGCGUGGGGCCCAUGGCUUCAUUCACACGAGCCAUGUCAGGCGUGGGUGUGCAGCAAAUCCAUAAGUACCAUAGAGAAUUCAAACCCGUGAUAAAGGUGGAUCUGAAGCCCACGCCAACGGCAGAGGAAGCCCAAGGAAGAGGCUUCAUGAGCACCAAGUACCAGCUGGCCCUCGCUGCAGCAAAGGAGCUUGGCCUGCUCGACCAACGAUACAACUGGCUCAAGGAAAAGCGGGAUGAGCUACAGUACUACACCUGCGGGUCCUAUGAUGAUGCUACCUCCGCAGAUUUGGCGUGGCACGUGCGGUACAAGAUAGUUCCUCAGAUCAUCAAACAGUUGGCAGCCGAGAGGUACUUGCUAGUGGCUGAGAACCUCCAAGGGCCAAUUGAGCCUGGCAGUUUUACACGGGAUUGCGGGCUUCCUCUGCUCGAGUGGGCAAAUUCUCGUUGGCUCAUCUCGACCACUUCUCAUGAUGCCUACAACAAGAGCAAGUCAGAAGGCGAUCAAGUUAUAUCCAUUGACAAAGAUGAAGAUGUUGUGGUGCUUAUCCUCUUUGCAAUGCAUCAAUCAGCAGAGCACAUACACGGUGCGAUGCGUCAAAAAAGCAAGCAGUACUGGCAUUGCAUAGCCCUCCAAUGCUUCCACUACGCCAUGGCAGUGUUUGGCAAACAUUCACAUGUUGCAUCUAUUACCUCGGACGAGCUCAUCCACCACUGGGCCGCCCAGGGCAUCUUGCCAUAUAUGGCCAUCGAGGAAGAAGAAGAAACCAGCACCAUCAACACCAAGUUUUCAAAUAUGCAUCGAAUUGGAAGGGUCAUCCUCGAAGCAUUCCAUAAGUACUCUUUGUUGCAGCUACCCUUUUCUCCUGCAACUGAAGCUUAUGAAGCCUCCAAUACCGGCGCACAAUUCUUUGCAUACCAUGGCCUCAUUGCAGAAGACAUCACAGUUGAUGAACUACUUGAUGAGAAGAAGAAAUGGAUUUCAUUCGCCAGUGACCAUGGAUGCCAUGUAAGCCGAGAAUGGUGGAACCCAGAGGGAACAAGGGGCACAACUACACUUAUCCUAAGAGGCUGCUCAGAUCAAUCACUCAUUCUUUCCAAGCUAGACCAUUUCUUGCCAGAACUUUGUUUUCUUCUUGUUCUUGAUCUGUCCUACACUCCAAUAAAAGCACUCCCUUCUUCCAUUGGUUAUCUACAGAACCUUCGGUUGCUCUCACUUAGAGGUUGCCAUGAUCUGAAAACUCUUUCCAAUUCAUCCACAACAAAUGCCACAAACUCAUCAACAAAUAUUAGUUCAUCGUCACCAUUGUCCACUCUAUACAAGCUAGAAAUUCUUGAUAUGAAUGGUGUUCCUGUUUCUCAUCUGACACAAGAUGUGGCCAACCAAAAGAGCAAUCUGAUUUAUCUCGACAUGUCCUAUUCGAAAAUAACUACUUUCUCUCCCACUUUUUUUGAGGACAUGUCAAAUCUGGAGGAGCUUAUUAUGACAAGCUGCUCUAACCUUGUGGAGCUACCUCCUUCAAUGGCUUCUCUAUCCAGCCUAACGACCCUUGAGGUCACAGGGACUCAAAUAAAAUACUUCCCGCAGAAGAUAUUUGAAGAAAAUAUGCAGAAGCUACGGUCUUUGAAGCUCAUUGACAACAAGGAAUUGAUUUCACUCACAGGACCAAUCUCUAGGGUCAAAGGAAUCAAAUUGGAAGGGCAUCCUAGCAUUGUAUCGUUCAUGUUGAUCGGCACACCUCAUAUAAGGUGUUUGUCCUUGCAUGGAUGUAGAAAACUUGAGUCUAUCGAGAUCAAGAAUCUUGCUGCCUUGGAGGAGGUUGAUUUGUCCGGUACAGCUAUUAAGGAGCUCUCUGCCGACAUCCCUAAUCUUCCCCAGCUUAGGAGAUUACUCCUCGUGGGUGUUCCUUCCCUGCGGCGAUUUCCUUGGCAUGAGCUGGAGCGACUCCCGGAUGUGUUUUACUUGGAUCAUUGUCCAGAAGGAAAUGACAAUUAUUCUAAUCAAGUUACCCAAGUGUGUGUAACUGACCCCAGGUUCUUCCAUAGCUUCCGUAACACUGCUUUGAAUUCAGUAAGAGAUGGACGGUUUUUCCAAUCAUUCUAUAUUCAAGUCGCACCAUGCAUUACCAAUAGAAGGCAAGUACAAGAUGAAGAAGGCAUGCUAGAUAGCAAGUUGGAGGAGUUGCUGCGGAAUCAGUCAACAUAUGUGGAUGUAUUUAGCAGCUAUUUUGCAAAGAAAAUUGCACUUGCAUCACCCCUGACAGUUCCUCUUCACCGGACUGAGCGCCAUGUAGAAUAUAUGUCACUGUCACUGACAACAUAUAUGGCACAAACGAAGCUCACAUGGAUGCAAGAGACACAUACGGGUUUAGGCGGUCUUCUAAACGUCACGAAAUCAGUGUCAGUGACAUAUGACACUUCUAUCUACACAUUUAAUGACCUGAGCGACUUCAUCGAGCUAGAAGAAUGUGAGCUUCGUUUGUGCCAUAAAAUGAAAGAAGUUGUAUCUUACACUCAAGGCUUGAAAAAACUACGCAAUAUGCAUGUCUGUAGUCUCAAAAGGCUAGUUUCGUUCUGUUCACCGUAUAGUUCUUGUGACUUCAGUAGUCUAGAGCACCUGCACUUAGAGGACUGCCCAAGAUUGGAGCACGUGGUGCCACAUACAGCAACGCUGCCAUGCCUCAAGACACUUGACAUAUUAUUCUGCUACAAACUCAAGACAAUUUUCAUCACCCAUCGCUCGCAAGGUAAUACUUAUCAGCUCCCAAGCCUCCAAAGGAUACGUCUCCAGGAGCUGCCACUGCUUCAGCACUUCCAUGACAAGGACGCCACCAUGACAGCACCGAUGUGGAAGGAGCUACACAUCCGAGGGUGCUGGAGCCUCCGACGCCUCCCGCGCCUACAAGGACGCGAGCCGGGGAUGGUGAAGGUCAACGGUGAGAGGAGCUGGUGGAGCAAGCUGCAGUGGGGCUCAACCCUGCACCGCGACAGCUACGACCCCAAGCUUCCCCUGGAGUUCGCCUCCUUCGAUGAGUCUGCCGAGAUGAGCACCUACCUUAGAUGA